GAUGAACGCUGGCGGCGUGCCUAAUACAUGCAAGUCGAGCAAACGGACGAGAAGCUUGCUUCUCUGAUGUUAGCGGCGGACGGGUGAGUAAAACGUGGAUAACCUACCUAUAAGACUGGGAUAACUUCGGGAAACCGGAGCUAAUACCGGAUAAUAUUUUGAACCGCAUGGUUCAAAAGUGAAAGACGGUCUUGCUGUCACUUAUAGAUGGAUCCGCGCUGCAUUAGCUAGUUGGUAAGGUAACGGCUUACCAAGGCAACGAUGCAUAGCCGACCUGAGAGGGUGACCGGCCACACUGGAACUGGGACACGGUCCAGACUCCUACGGGAGGCAGCAGUAGGGAAUCUUCGGCAAUGGGCGAAAUCCUGACGGAGCAACGCCGCGGGAGUGAUGAAGGUCUUCGGAUCGUAAAACUCGGUUAUUAGGGAAGAACAUAUGUGUAAGUAACUGUGCACAUCUUGACGGUACCUAAUCAGAAAGCCACGGCUAACUACGUG
rnacentral:rRNA from 1 species